rnacentral:rRNA from 1 species
CUGCUGCCUCCCGUAGGAGUCUGGGCCGUGUCUCAGUCCCAAUGUGGCCGUCCACCCUCUCAGGCCGGCUACUGAUCGUCGCCUUGGUAGGCCGUUACCCUGCCAACCAGCUAAUCAGACGCGGGCCCAUCUCGCACCACCUUGGGUUUCAGGGCAGGGCAUGCGCCCCGCCGCUAUGCGGUGUUAGCACCUAUUUCUAAGUGUUAUCCCCCACGUGCGAGGCAGGUUGCCCACGCGUUACUCACCCGUCCGCCACG